rnacentral:lncRNA from 1 species
ACCAUCUCUUUGCGCUGCUCCUACGUCCCCCCCGGGCAGGUGGCAGCGGGGAAUGCCACAUCCCAGCGGUCAGAAGGAAUGGCACCGUCCCUGUCCCCUCCACGUCCCACCCCAGUGCAGGGGACAGCCAUCGGGAUGGCACCGCGCCGCCACCCCAAACCUGCGGCGGGGAAGAAGGAGGAUUUCCAGGUGCGGGUCAGGGUCCUCGAGGGCCACCAGCUGCAGGGCAGUG